rnacentral:tRNA from 1 species
GCCCGAUUGGUGGAAUUGGUAGACACACAGGUUUUAGGUACCUGCGCUUCGGCUUGCGAGUUCGACUCUCGCAUUGGGCA